GGCCUCAAAUAAUGUGUGACUACCCCCUAAAUUUAAGCAUGUCGACAC
rnacentral:rRNA from 2 species